AUUGAACGCUGGCGGCAGGCCUAACACAUGCAAGUCGAGCGGAUGAAGGGAGCUUGCUCCUGGAUUCAGCGGCGGACGGGUGAGUAAUGCCUAGGAAUCUGCCUGGUAGUGGGGGAUAACGUCCGGAAACGGGCGCUAAUACCGCCUACGUCCUGAGGGAGAAAGUGGGGGAUCUUCGGACCUCAUGCUCUCAGAUGAGCCUAGGUCGGAUUAGUUAGUUGGUGGGGUAAAGGCCUACCAAGGCGACGAUCCGUAACUGGUCUGAGAGGAUGAUAAGUCACACUGGAACUGAAACGCGGUCCAGGCUCCUACGGGAGGCAGCAGUGGGGAAUAUUGGACAAUGGGCGGAAGCCUGAUCCAGCCAUGCCGCGUGUGUGAAGAAGGUCUUCGGAUUGUAAAGCACUUUAAGUUGGGAGGAAGGGCAGUAAGUUAAUACCUUGCUGUUUUGACGGUACCAACAGAAUAAGCACCGGCUAACUUCGUG
rnacentral:rRNA from 1 species